CACAUGCAAGUCGAGCGGAUGAGAGGAGCUUGCUCCUUGAUUUAGCGGCGGACGGGUGAGUAAUGCCUAGGAAUCUGCCUGGUAGUGGGGGAUAACGUUCCGAAAGGAACGCUAAUACCGCAUACGUCCUACGGGAGAAAGCAGGGGACCUUCGGGCCUUGCGCUAUCAGAUGAGCCUAGGUCGGAUUAGCUAGUUGGUGAGGUAAUGGCUCACCAAGGCGACGAUCCGUAACUGGUCUGAGAGGAUGAUCAGUCACACUGGAACUGAGACACGGUCCAGACUCCUACGGGAGGCAGCAGUGGGGAAUAUUGGACAAUGGGCGAAAGCCUGAUCCAGCCAUGCCGCGUGUGUGAAGAAGGUCUUCGGAUUGUAAAGCACUUUAAGUUGGGAGGAAGGGCAUUAACCUAAUACGUUAGUGUUU
rnacentral:rRNA from 1 species